GUUCGGAAGCCUUAAUGAACAUUGCAAAUCUUACAGCAGGAUAGAAUACCCGCGCACAGUCACUGUGGUAAAAAUCUUCCAAACGGGUGGGUGGGAUGCUGCUGUCCGUUAUCCAGAUUUGACGUCAAUAGAACUGUUCCUGUGGGGAUACCUUAAGGACGCGGGGAGGAAAAGCGGCGAUACUGAAAGAUGCAAGGCUGUAGCAGCAAAGUGAAAUGUUUGUCGAAGCCCGUGAAUCAACAGUCUGCAAUAACGUAAUCAUAUUCUAGACCGGCGGGACUCGCAAACAUUAUUACUGCACCUCGCUUGUAUAUGUACCCAGUAUUGGGUUCGUCGUUGACCGAUGGAAGUGAAUAUAUGCGAUGUAAAUAACUGGAUAUCUACAGUCACUGCCUAGACGCGGCGAGGAAUGUUUGCUUCAAUAAUCUCUAGACUAUCGUGACAUUAUCCUCUGAUGGCCUUAUGUCUGGGUCAAGACGGGGAUAAUAAUCUUCAAGGGCUAAUGCCAAGGACAGCUUUCUUCAGGACGCCGACAACGCAAGAAUGCAUCUGUGGAUCUUUGACCCGUAUCACGUCUACAACUUAGUUUCAACAGAAGCGGCCCCUCUGGAUAAACGACAACAUAACGUCGAUA